GCAUAUCAAUAAGCGGAGGAAAGAAACCAACAGGGAUUGCCUUAGUAACGGCGAGUGAAGCGGCAACAGCUCAAAUUUGAAAGCUGGCCCUUUUAGGGUCCGCAUUGUAAUUUGUAGAGGAUGAUUCGGCGAGGGCUCCUGCCUAAGUCCCCUGGAACGGGGCGUCAUAGAGGGUGAGAAUCCCGUAUGCGGUAGGUUGCCUUAGCCAUGUGAAUCUCCUUCGACGAGUCGAGUUGUUUGGGAAUGCAGCUCUAAAUGGGAGGUAAAUUUCUUCUAAAGCUAAAUACCGGCCAGAGACCGAUAGCGCACAAGUAGAGUGAUCGAAAGAUGAAAAGCACUUUGGAAAGAGAGUUAAAAAGUACGUGAAAUUGUUGAAAGGGAAGCGCUUGCAACCAGACUUGUCCGCAGUUGCUCAGCCGGUCUCCUGACCGGCGUACUCUUCUGCGGCCAGGCCAGCAUCAGUUCGGGCGGUCGGAUAAAGGCCUCGGGAAUGUGGCUCCUCUCGGGGAGUGUUAUAGCCCGGGGUGCAAUGCGGCCAGCCUGGACUGAGGAACUCGCUUCGGCAAGGAUGCUGGCGUAAUGGUUGUAAGCGGCCCGUCUUGAAACACGGACCAA
rnacentral:rRNA from 1 species